rnacentral:sRNA from 1 species
GCGUCUAACGGGCGCGAUUCGAUGGAAGUGGCGCAUGUAGUCAGGCGUGAAGUAUUCGAGGCCCAGCUUCGAAUACUCCAUCGGAAAGAACCCCGCCGAUCGGGUGAUCCACUGGAUCGAAGCGCCGGCUGCUACCAUCUCCGGCGUCAGAUCGUUCAAAAGCGCAAGAACGCAUUCGGCAGCGCU